rnacentral:rRNA from 1 species
AAUUGGAGGGCAAGUCUGGUGCCAGCAGCCGCGGUAAUUCCAGCUCCAAUAGCGUAUAUUAAAGUUGUUGCAGUUAAAAAGCUCGUAGUUGAAUUUCGGGAUCAAUAUUUCGGUCAUGCCGUUGGUAUGCACUGUUAUCAUUGAUUUCUCACCUUCUAAAGAACCGUAAUGCCAUUAAUUUGGUGUUACGGGGAAUUAGGACUGUUACCUUGAAAAAAUUAGAGUGUUUAAAGCAGGCUCACGCUUGAAUACAUUAGCAUGGAAUAAUGAAAUAGGACAUCCGAUUCUAUUUUGUUGGUUUCUAGGAUCGAUGUAAUGAUUAAUAGGGAUAGUUGGGGGCAUUAGUAUUCAAUUGUCAGAGGUGAAAUUCUUGGAUUUAUUGAAGACUAACUACUGCGAAAGCAUUUGCCAAGGAUGUUUUCAUUAAUCAAGAACGAAAGUUAGGGGAUCGAAGACGAUCAGAUACCGUCGUAGUCUUAACCAUAAACUAUGCCGACUAGGGAUCGGAUGAUGUUAAUUUCUUAAUGACUCAUUCGGCGCCUUACGGGAAACCAAAGUGU